UAGUCCACGCCGUAAACGAUGUCAACUAGCCGUCGGGCUCAAUAUAAGGGUUUGGUGGCGAAGCUAACGCGAUAAGUUGACCGCCUGGGGAGUACGCCGGCAACGGUAAAACUCAAAGGAAUUGACGGGGGCCCGCACAAGCGGUGGAGUAUGUGGUUUAAUUCGAAGCAACGCGCAGAACCUUACCUACCCUUAACAUCCCGGGACAACCUCAGAGAUGAGGCUUUCUCUUCGGAGACUCGGUGAUAGGUGCUGCAUGGCUGUCGUCAGCUCGUGUCGUAGGAUGUUUGGUUAAGUCCAAUAACGAGCGCAACCCUUAUCUUUAGUUGCCAUCAUUAAGUUGGGGACUCUAAAGAGACUGCCGGUGUUAAACCGGAGGAAGGCGGGGAUGAUGUCAAGUCCUCAUGGCCCUUACGGGUAGGGCUACACACGUACUACAAUGGCAGAAACAAACCGCUGCGAGACCGCGAGGUGGAGCAAAUCGGUAAAACACUGUCUCAGUCCGGAUUGGAGUCUGCAAUUCGACUCA
rnacentral:rRNA from 1 species